UACGUAGGUGGCAAGCGUUGUCCGGAUUUACUGGGCGUAAAGAGCUCGUAGGCGGGAUCGUAAGUCUUAGAGUAAAAUCUCACGGCUCAACCGUGGGGGCCUUCUGAGAUACUGCGAUUCUUGAGGAUGUCAGAGGAAAAGUGGAAUUCCCCGGUGUAGCGGUGAAAUGCGUAGAUAUCGGGAGGAACACCAGUGGCGAAGGCGACUUUCUGGGACAUUCCUGACGCUGAGGAGCGAAAGCGUGGGGAGCAAACGGG
rnacentral:rRNA from 1 species